rnacentral:rRNA from 1 species
UUGAAGUCAGUCGUACCGACGAGAAAUCAACUUAUCGUGUGCGAACUUGUGGGCGUGCGUGAGUUUCGGCCUCGCUGUUUGCAUGUUUGUGCGUUUUGGGUGUACUUUUUCGUAUGGUAGGCCAACAUCAGUUUCGAUUACUAUAAAAUGACCGGCGGAAUGUAGCUUCGAUUUCGGUUGAAGUGUUAUAGCCUCUGGUAGAUGUGGUGAUUGGAACUGAGGAUUGCAACGAAUAUCCUUUGGGCUAUCCGUCUGAUCUCUGAAAGUUGCUCAGGUGCCGAAAGCGUGCUUACGGUCAUCUAAGUUGACGGUCAACAGGUUAGAACGUGAUUACAUUCGUUAAGGAUGUUGACGUA